ACACCAACCACACAGUGCUCCCGGAAGCCCUGGAGCGCUGGCCCGUGGACCUGGUGGAGAAGCUGCUCCCUCGACAUUUGGAAAUCAUUUAUGAGAUAAAUCAGAAGCAUUUAGAUAGAAUUGUGGCCUUGUUUCCUAAAGAUGUGGACCGUCUGAGAAGGAUGUCUCUGAUAGAAGAGGAAGGAAGCAAAAGGAUCAACAUGGCCCAUCUCUGCAUUGUCGGUUCCCAUGCUGUGAAUGGCGUGGCUAAAAUCCACUCAGACAUCGUGAAGACUAAAGUGUGAGCCUCCAUUACUCUGGCAGUGGGUCUGACACUGAUCCAUUAAUGGAAUGAUGCUACUAAAUGCAGGGUUGCACUUAGGGAUGAGGAAAGGCCUUGUUCAAAUGUUUAAAAGUAUUUUCUUCUAUACAAAAAACUCUUCUCUA
rnacentral:sRNA from 1 species